rnacentral:lncRNA from 1 species
CCUGUCUUCAACCCACUAAUUUUUCUUCAGCUUGAUCUAUUCUGCUUUUAAAGACUGAUCCUUUCUUCAGUAUGCCAGUUGCAUUUUUAAACUCCAGAAUUUCUGCUUAAUUCCUUUUCAUUAUUUCAAUCUCUUUAUUAAAUUUGUCUAAUAGAAUUUUGAAUUCCUUCUUUGUGUUAUCUUGAAUUUCUUUGAGUUUCCUCAAAAUAGGUAUUUUGAGUUCUGUGUCUCAGUAUGUUGCAUGCCCCCGCAGUCAACUAUCUCUGGGCCCAGUUCAGCACUAGGACUCUCCUAGGAGUUGCAGUCUUUGUGGCAUAGACUGCCUUUCAAAUUUAUUUAAAGCCCCAGAGUACUUUAGCUUAUGGUUGCGAGGUUUGCAGAAACUCAAGUUUGGACCGCUAGGAUUGGUGAUUCCCCUCUGGCUAGGGCUGGUUUAAAUGUUUCCUCCGUGGGCAGGCGUCAGCUGAGUUUGGUUCCGUUUUGAUUUCUGCUAUAACAGGGCAGCACUGGGUUCAGUGCCUCACAAUUGCUGUGCUCUCCCUCACCCUAGAGCAUAGACGUGCUUUCAUACUACACCACCAGUGCUGGGGGACAGGGUAGGGGCAGCAUCAGUGAUUCAAGACUGUUUUUCCUGCCUCUUCAGUGCCUUUUCCAGCAGUAUGAAGUUAAAUCCAGGUAUUGUGAGUCCUUACCUGAUUUUUGGUUGCUAUGAAUGAGCUUUCUUUGUGUAGAUAGUUGUUACAUUGGUGUCCUGGAGGGGGUGGCAAUUGGUGGUCUUCUAUUCUGCCAUCUUGCUCCACCCCAGGUGCUG